AGUAAAUUUAGUUAGUACUAUAAAUAAAAAAAUACCAAGUUUUCUUAUUUUAUUCAGUCAAUCAAAAAAUCAAUUUAAAAGUUUCUUAAAUCAAAUUGUUUAAGCUAAAUUUAGUACGUUUGAACAAAAAGUAAAAUUAUCCAAUAUAUUACUUAAUUAUUAUUAUUAUAAAGUCGUGGUAAUAAAAUAGAAAUGUAAUAAUGUGUUAAUAAAAUAGGAACUUAGUCCAUUCUCAAAAAUUUUCAAAUUUUGUCUGUUGAGGGUUGUUCUUCGACAAAUUGUUUUCGACCUCCCUCGAUUUCUUGCCCUGCGGCUUCCAUUCUAAUUCGGAUUCGACCAUACAUUUGCACUCGUUUUCCCUGAGCACGCCAUAAAUAAGCCAAGAUAACCAUUUUGCCCACCUUCUGAGAGAUUAUACAUAAGUACAUUUAUUUUACCUAACACCACAUUCAUUGACUUAUCUCACCAAUUAAAUCAGAAUGGAUAUCAUAACAGUUUAUCAACCGCUUCUGCUAAAAAUUAUAAAAUCAGUUAAAUGAAAAACAAAACAACAGUUAGAGAGGAUAUACAGCGAGAGAGAGAGAGCGCAUUCGCAGUCACAGAGCACGGGAGCACGAUGUAACGUAGCGAAGAGCGAAGUGCUGAUAUUAAUUAACAGCACUGCAAAGGCUAAUGUAAGCAACAUUGCAGGGAUGAGAUUGCAAUCCGCACUUUACAUGCUGUUGAACAUUUUAUUACUACAACACCAAUAAAGCUAACUUUUACGGCUUCAAGCCGCAAACAAAACCAGUUGGCAAACAUGAAAAUCGUCUUCCAAGCAUAGAGAGACAAGUCCUCCAUCCGGCAUGUGUGCGCGUAUGUUGGUGUGCGUAUAUUUUCGAAUGUGCCGAAGUGCAGAGGAACCUUUGCGCAAGCAUUCGGUGAGUGUUUGUUCUACGAGAGUGAUUUGACACCGUGCGUAUUCUUUCAAUGCCACAUCGCCAAAUGCAUAGAAGUCCAUUAAAAUACAUAAUGCGUAUGCAAGUGUGUAUGUAGGCAUGACACGCGGCACAGUUUGGUGUAAGCAACGACAGCAAUGAAAGCGACGUAACCGACCCUCUCCCGUUCGGUGAUUGUCAGAAAUUACUUGUGGCGGAAAUAUUUAAUGAUCCUUUCUGACUUAAUUCCUGCAAACUUCUAUACAUUUUUUCCCGCACAUUACAUUCUCCUUUGUCUAGAUAUUAAUUUCGCUUUUGGAUUUUAGCGAAAGGACAAAGUAUAGAUAUGUAUGUAUGAAUCUCUCACAUAAAAAAAUAUAUGUAAAUAAGACAAGAGCAUAGGAAGCCAGUGCCUCAAGAAGGGACGAAAACUGGCGCAGGGCGGUGCUGGCAGCAGCGAGUGAGCGCUAAAAAGCAGAAAUUACGUGAGCAACGACACCAAGUGGCGAAAUGCACAAACAUAUACAUAUACACAUAUGUAUGUAAGUAUAUGCUACUUAAAAAUAUGUUGCGUGCUAGGAAGGGCCGCAAUAAAUGAGUGAAAUUGAAUGCAAUACACGAAACAAUAAAGUGCCGCCGAAAUGAGUUUCUUUUUCACUAGCUAAGCUUAAAAUACGAAAAACGUUCUAGGCGGUGAAAAAAUUUGAAGAUGAGGAACUGUAAGCAUUACUAUAUGAAGAUUGUUGCUAAACGCAAGAAGAGCUCGCAAAAUCUCUGGGGGUCCCUCAAGCAACGUUUUAAAAUCGUUUAAAAGAAAUUGGAUGUCAUAUGAAUUGAAGCCGAGAGACAUUGAAAGACGAUUUUGCACGUCAGAAAUCCUGCUUAUACGUUACAAAAAAAGUUCGGUCGUCAUCGGAUUGUGAUAUAGUCUAAAAAGCAAAACCAACGGCAAAUCCGAAAAUCCAUGACGCCAUGGUAAUGCUCUGUAUUUGGUGCGAUCAGAAGGAUGUGCUGUAUUAUGUGCUUAUAAAACCGGGUGGAACCAGUAAAAGACCGGUUAAAUACUAUUUGGAAAACGUCUGCUGGAAAGUUUUGCCUCACGAAGGCCCAGACCUUGCCUCUUCUGACUACCAAUUGUUCUGGUCGAUGUUGGAAUACAGUUCACAUCAGAAUGGCAUUAAGUCGUUGAGUAUUAAAAAUUGGCUUGAUUCAUUCUUGAUUGCCGAGGCACAGUUCUUUUGGGAUGAAAUUUACAAAUUGCCAGUAAGAUGGGAAAAUAUUAUAGCUUCAGAUGAGAAAAUACUAGAAACAAUACUAUCGUAAAUGUUUUUCUUAAUUAAACGUUCAAAUUUUGGAAAAAAACCCGCAAUAUAAAUAGUUAUAAACCCUA